GUCUGGUGGCGAGUGGCGAACGGGUGAGUAAUGUAUCGGAACGUGCCCAGUAGCGGGGGAUAACUACGCGAAAGCGUAGCUAAUACCGCAUACGCCCUACGGGGGAAAGCAGGGGAUCGCAAGACCUUGCACUAUUGGAGCGGCCGAUAUCGGAUUAGCUAGUUGGUGGGGUAACGGCUCACCAAGGCGACGAUCCGUAGCUGGUUUGAGAGGACGACCAGCCACACUGGGACUGAGACACGGCCCAGACUCCUACGGGAGGCAGCAGUGGGGAAUUUUGGACAAUGGGGGAAACCCUGAUCCAGCCAUCCCGCGUGUGCGAUGAAGGCCUUCGGGUUGUAAAGCACUUUUGGCAGGAAAGAAACGUCAUGGGUUAAUACCCCGUGAAACUGACGGUACCUGCAGAAUAAGCACCGGCUAACUACGUGCCAGCAGCCGCGGUAAUACGUAGGGUGCAAGCGUUAAUCGGAAUUACUGGGCGUAAAGCGUGCGCAGGCGGUUCGGAAAGAAAGAUGUGAAAUCCCAGAGCUUAACUUUGGAACUGCAUUUUUAACUACCGGGCUAGAGUGUGUCAGAGGGAGGUGGAAUUCCGCGUGUAGC
rnacentral:rRNA from 1 species